CCUGGUUCAGAUUGAAUGCUGACGGCGUGGAUGAGGCAUGCAAGUCGAACGAAGUAGCUUGCUACUUAGUGGCGAAAGGGUUAGUAAUACAUGAGUAACGUACCUCUUUCCUGGGGAUAACGGUUGGAAACGACCGCUAAUACCGAAUGAGGAGAUCCGGGGUAGCCCGGCAUCUUCAAAGUAGGGGAUCCCUCGGGACCUUACGGAGAGAGAGCGGCUCAUGGGAUAUCAGCUUGUUGGUGUGGUAACGGCGCACCAAGGCUAAGACGUCUAGGCGGACUGAGAGGUUGACCGCCAACACUGGGACUGAGACACUGCCCAGACUCCUAUGGGAGGCUGCAGUCGAGAAUCAUUCGCAAUGGGCGCAAGCCUGACGAUGCGACGCCGUGUGGACGAUGAAGGCCUUCGGGUUGUAAAGUCCUUUCGCCAGGGAACAAGAGAAAGCAACUAAUAAUUGCUUGAUUUGAGCGUACCUGGUAAAGAAGCACCGGCUAACUCCGUGCCAGCAGCUGCGGUAAUACGGAGGGUGCAAGCAUUAAUCGGAUUUAUUGGGUGUAAAGAGCAUGUAGGCGGGUAAGUCAGUCAGAUGUGAAAUUUCGGAGCUCAACUUCGAAGCUGCAUUUGAAACUACUUACCUCGAGGGUAGACGGAGAAAACGGAAUUCCAAGUGUAGCGGUGAAAUGCGUAGAUAUUUGGAAGAACACCGGUGGCGAAAGCGGUUUUCUAGUUUAUUCCUGACGCUGAGAUGCGAGAGCAAGGGUAGCAAACAGGAUUAGAUACCCUGGUAGUCCUUGCCGUAAACGAUGCAUACUUGGUGUAGUUGGACUCAACCCCGACUGUGCCGUAGCUAACGCGUUAAGUAUGCCACCUGGGGAGUACGCCCGCAAGGGUGAAACUCAAAAGAAUUGACGGGGGCCCGCACAAGCAGUGGAGCAUGUGGUUUAAUUCGAU
rnacentral:rRNA from 1 species